rnacentral:rRNA from 1 species
UGGGGAAUAUUGCACAAUGGGCGAAAGCCUGAUGCAGCAACGCCGCGUGAGUGAUGAAGGCCUUCGGGUUGUAAAGCUCUGUCUUUUGGGACGAUAAUGACGGUACCAAAGGAGGAAGCCACGGCUAACUACGUGCCAGCAGCCGCGGUAAUACGUAGGUGGCAAGCGUUGUCCGGAUUUACUGGGCGUAAAGGAUGCGUAGGCGGAUUUUUAAGUGAGAUGUGAAAACCCUAAGCUUAACUUGGGGACUGCAUUUCAUACUGGAAAUCUAGAGUGCGGGAGAGGAGAAUGGAAUUCCUAGUGUAGCGGUGAAAUGCGUAGAGAUUAGGAAGAACACCAGUGGCGAAGGCGAUUCUCUGGACCGUAACUGACGCUGAGGCAUGAAAGCGUGGGUAGCAAACAGGAUUAGAUACCCUGGUAGUCCACGCCGUAAACGAUGAGUACUAGGUGUAGGAGGUAUCGACCCCUUCUGUGCCGCAGUUAACACAAUAAGUACUCCGCCUGGGAAGUA